rnacentral:sRNA from 1 species
UACCAAAUUUGUGUCCUUUUGCGUUCAA